rnacentral:tRNA from 1 species
GAGGGUAGAGGUCAGUGGUAGAGUGUGUGCUUAGCAUGCACGAGGUCCUGGGUUCAAUCCCCAGUACCUCCA